UUCCGGUUGAUCCUGCCGGACCUGACUGCUAUCGGAUUGAUACUAAGCCAUGCGAGUCAUUGUAGCAAUACAAGGCAUACGGCUCAGUAACGCGUAGUCAACCUAACCUAUGGACGGGAAUAACCUCGGGAAACUGAGAAUAAUGCCCGAUAGAACACUAUACCUGGAAUGGUUUGUGUUCCAAAUGAUUUAUCGCCGUAGGAUGGGACUGCGGCCUAUCAGUUUGUUGGUGAGGUAAUGGCCCACCAAGACUAUUACAGGUACGGGCUCUGAGAGGAGUAGCCCGGAGAUGGGUACUGAGACACGGACCCAGGCCCUAUGGGGCGCAGCAGGCGAGAAAACUUUGCAAUGUGCGAAAGCACGACAAGGUUAAUCCGAGUGGUUCCUGCUAAAGGAACCUUUUGUUAGUCCUAGAAACACUAACGAAUAAGGGGUGGGCAAGUUCUGGUGUCAGCCGCCGCGGUAAAACCAGCACCUCAAGUGGUCAGGAUGAUUAUUGGGCCUAAAGCAUCCGUAGCCGGCUCUGUAAGUUUUCGGUUAAAUCUGUACGCUUAACGUACAGGCUGCCGGGAAUACUGCAUAGCUAGGGAGUGGGAGAGGUAGACGGUACUCGGUAGGAAGGGGUAAAAUCCUUUGAUCUAUUGAUGACCACCUGUGGCGAAGGCGGUCUACC
rnacentral:rRNA from 1 species